AUAUGUUACAACAUGUCACCAUACUUUAAAAGUGCUCGUUUUUACAUGACAUUUAUCUUGUUAUGCUCCGGAUUUGUAAGAAUGCUAAAUUUAAUCAAUCCUUUUAACUUGUGAUCUAACGGGAGCAACAUCGGCUUUUGAGUAUUUACAGAAAAGUGAAAAAAACAUGGACCGCGUAGCUCUACUGUGGAUAACUAUCGCCAUCCUGAUGUCGGUGGUCAGCGUCUCUAAAGGCUCUGUGUGGAAGUGCUGCGGGAGGUGCCGGUGGCUGGGCCAGGAGUGCAUCCGGUUCGGAAAGCAAAGCUGUCGGUGUCGGGGUAGAAUGGCGAUCAUGGCUGACAGCGGAUAUCAGGUGCAUGGGAACGAACAUACCCGUUUUCAAGAUGGGCACCAAAAUAACGAGCUCUCUACGCACGACAGUGUGUUAUUGAAAGAAAAACUAUGAUUAAUUUGAGUCCCCAUUGUUUUAUACAGGAGACGGGACAUUUAUUCUACCAAUAAAGAUAAUACAGUUUCCUGACACACACAAUUGAGCUUUGUUAAGAUAAAAACUACAACAACAACAACAACUGCAGCAGCAACAACAACAGCAACAACAUAGUAUUGUACAGUUUUAAUAAUGAUAAUUUCAUAUAGUCUUUAGACAUUAUAAACGAUACCUAAACAUGUUAUACUCAUUAAUCUCUACACAAUUUAUACAUUUAAAUCUAGUUCCUUUAUAAAUUAGCAGUGUUAUGUGUAUUUGACAUCAAAGACUUUUAAUAUAUCAAUAGUCACUUUUUUCAAUGAUUGCCACGACAUUAUUUAAUCAAUGUAUUAAAAAGAGAUUUUAUCAUGAAUACACAGCUGACUGCAUUGUUGAAUAAAACAACUUACAUAAACUUUUAGUUGUUCUCGAGUCUAUCUGCUCGACACCGCAUUUUCAACUUCAUAUCAUUUUAAAAUUAAUUUCUCACCAUACGCAUAAAGUAGUUCAGAUCUGAAAUACAACUCGAUGUUUAAAUUUAAACAUUUGGACACGCACUUCCCUCGUAAUAUGUGAGUGAUGUUAUAGAAAACCUGUCAGCUUGUCGAAUGUUCAAAAUGACUUUGAAACAAGAAUAUAUUGAAUGCGCUUUAAAUGAAAUGUAUUUAAUAUUUAUCAUCAGUGAUGUUUGCAAUUAACAAGGCUUCAACCACGACAGUUAUACCUCGCUAUGUCACAUGAAAGAGUUAGUGUACAAUCAUUUACUGUGUGACAUUGUUUCGGAUAGGUUGCAAGUACUUGCUGUGUAAAGUUGUUCCUGGUUGGUUGCACGUAAUCGCCAUAUGACGUUCUUCCUGGUUGAUUGCAAGCACUGACUCUGUGACGUUGUCCAUGGUUGGUUGCAAUCACUCACUGUGUGACGUUGUUCCUGGUUGGUUGUAAUCACUCACUGUGUGGCGUUGUUCCUGGUUGGUUGCAAUCACUCACUGUGUGACGUUGUUCCUGGUUGGUUGUAAUCACUCACUGUGAGGCGUUGUUCCUGGUUGGUUGCAAGUACUCACUGUGUGACGUUGUUCCUGGUUGGUUGCAAUCACUCACUCUGUGACGUUGUUCCUGGUUGGUUGCAAGUACUCACUGUGUGAUGCUGUUCCUGGUUGGUUAAAAGCAAUUCCUCUCUAAAGUUGUUCCUGGUUGGUUGCAAGUACUCAAUCUUCCAGUAGAUACAAGGUAGUAACAAUGUUGAAUGGAAUCAUUAAGAAAAAGACAUACAAUGACAAUGAAUACUUGUCUAUUGUAGGAUUUUAACUCAAGCCAGCAAAAAUCGCAUAGAUCCAUGAGAUCACUAGUAUACGGUAUCGUAAUCCUUAGUGCGCAUGCGUGGUGCUAUACUUCAUCUACAUAUUUCAUUCAUAACCAUUAUGCUCCUACCACUGAUUUUCGUAAGCACGCUAAACAACGUCAUGAAUUAAUUAAUUACAUUAAUUGUUAUUUUGAGCGCUUAUUUUUAAGGAAACCAUGAAAUAAAUGCUUAUUAAAAGAUUUCUUUUUUUUUUAAUAAUGUAACCCGUUCAAACCGUCGAUUGGAUUGUUUAAGUUAAGACAAUGGCAGCAGUCCAAACGAACGCUAGUGGAUUGUAAUUAUCUGGCCAAUAUAAAGAGAGGAACGGCGUUUUCGUAGAUAUGUACCAGAAUGCUUCAUAAACACUGUCUGUUAUACUGACAAUUUUGACUUGCAAAACCGCUGGUGACAUGGAAUGAAAAAGGAAAACACAACUUGUUUUCUGCAAUAACUUUUAUCCUCAGAGUAUUUGGUGACAUGGCCAAACAGCCGUCUGCAAAGGAAAUAAUGUAACGCGUUUCAAAAUGUCAAACUAGAACUAUUAUAUAAUAUUUGCGUUUACUAUGAAAUGCCAUGUACUGUAAGAUAAAUCACAGGCGCUGGACCUUGCUUCUUUCGACAACACAAACGCGAUUAGUCCCAAAGAAGCAAAAUACAUAUUAUGAAUAUAUUUUUCUUUAAGGCAAACACGAUUAAUUAUGAAAAUAAUGCGUACACCUAACGCAAACGUGAUGUUUACAUAAAGCCCAAGGCUUGUGAAAGAUAACCUUGAAUAUCUCACUGAGAGCAUGUCUGCUUUCUGCGAAUUGCGCUUGCGCGAAUGCAACAUAAAAGGUUGCGCAAACUAUUCUAUUCAGACGCGCAGUUCCUCCCGUAGAGCACAGAACAAUUGAACAGUUAAUGCGUCAUUGCUGCAUGUUCGGUGCGCAUUGCAAUUCGUGGAUUUAUCUUUACAAGUGUUCGAUAGUGAAAACACUAGUUACUGUAAAUUACAAAAAGACACGAUGAAUAUGAACACGAUCUUGGUGUGCUGGGUCAUGUUGGCUGUUAUCAUGGCGGCUUGCCCAGGCGCAGAAGGAAGACGUUCGUGCAAUCCUAAUCGCUGCCGUUACUGCGAGUCUAAAGGCAAGGAAUGUUACUGGAUUGGAGGUCAAUGCCGGUGUAGAAAUAUUGCUGGUCUCGCUGGUUUUUCUGGUUUACCAACAUAUCCUCGGUUGGAGAGAAAUUAUGUUGGUCUCGACCAUUUACCUGGACCUAAGGGAACAUCCAUCAAAUAAAAACAUUACUAUUACAAAUACUGGCUCGUGAACACUUCAUAAACGAACGGCUUUCGCUUACAGGAUUAUUGUUUGUUUUACUUACUUCCAAGUUUAGUUUUAUAUUUAAGAAAUAAUUCGUGUACGUUAUAGUUUGUUGUGGAAUAACCCACGGCCGGAAGUUUGGAUGCGUAGGGAUUAAAUCACGAGUGCGUAGCACGAGUGACUUGAAACCACGCAUCUAAACUUCCGGCCGUGGGUCAUUCGACAACAAACUAUAACGUACACGAAUUAUUUCGAUUCUAACACGGUUUUUACUAUAGAUUUAUGCAAUGUGUCAUAUUUUUCUUGUGUACUAUUUUAUGUAAAAUUCCAACUAUAAAAAUAACUUCGGCUGUGUUUUCGAUCAGAUCUCCGCCCUCAAUAACAGCCAAACUGGAUUAUUCGCUGGUGGAAAAUGUAUCGGCAUGUUUUGUUUAGUUUCAGCGCGUGCUUUCAGUGUAUAAGCUCCGCCCAUAAUUAUUGUAGAAUAACCCAUUGACGUUUUUCUUCUUUGUUUAUAUGAAAUUUGGCACGUGUCAUAUUUUUAAAAUAAACAUUGCAUUUGAAAA